rnacentral:rRNA from 1 species
GACGAACGCUGGCGGCGUGCCUAAUACAUGCAAGUCGAGCGGACCGGAUUGGGGCUUGCCUUGAUUCGGUCAGCGGCGGACGGGUGAGUAACACGUGGGCAACCUGCCCGCAAGACCGGGAUAACUCCGGGAAACCGGAGCUAAUACCGGAUAACACCGAAGACCGCAUGGUCUUCGGUUGAAAGGCGGCCUUUGGGCUGUCACUUGCGGAUGGGCCCGCGGCGCAUUAGCUAGUUCGUGAGGUAACGGCUCACCAAGGCGACGAUGCGUAGCCGGCCUGAGAGGGUGACCGGCCACACUGGGACUGAGACACGGCCCAGACUCCUACGGGAGGCAGCAGUAGGGAAUCUUCCGCAAUGGGCGAAAGCCUGACGGAGCGACGCCGCGUGAGCGAAGAAGGCCUUCGGGUCGUAAAGCUCUGUUGUGAGGGACGAAGGAGCGUCGUUCGAAGAGGGCGGCGAGGUGACGGUACCUCACGAGAAAGCCCCGGCUAACUACGUG